rnacentral:tRNA from 1 species
GGGCCGAUGGUCUAGUGGUAAGACAUCGCCUUCGCAAGGCGAAAACUCCGGGUUCGAUUCCCGGUCGGUCCA